AGUGAACGCUGGCGGUAGGCCUAACACAUGCAAGUCGAACGGCAGCACAGUAAGAGCUUGCUCUUACGGGUGGCGAGUGGCGGACGGGUGAGGAAUACAUCGGACUCUACUUUUUCGUGGGGGAUAACGUAGGGAAACUUACGCUAAUACCGCAUACGACCUACGGGUGAAAGCAGGGGAUCUUCGGACCUUGCGCGAUUGAAUGAGCCGAUGUCGGAUUAGCUGGUUGGCGGGGUAAAUGCCCACCAAGGCGACGAUCCGUAGCUGGUCUGAGAGGAUGAUCAGCCACACUGGAACUGAGACACGGUCCAGACUCCUACGGGAGGCAGCAGUGGGGAAUAUUGGACAAUGGGUGCAAGCCUGAUCCAGCCAUCCCGCGUGGGUGAAGAAGGCCUUCGGGUUGUAAAGCCCUUUUGUUGGGAAAGAAAAGCAGCAGGUUAAUACCCCGCUGUUCUGACGGUAACCAAAGAAUAAGCACCGGCUAACUUCGUG
rnacentral:rRNA from 1 species